GCGCGAUACAGGGUGACAGCCCCGUACACAAAAGCGCAUGUGCUGUGAGCUCGAUGAGUAGGGCGGGACACGUGGUAUCCUGUCUGAAUAUGGGGGGACCAUCCUCCAAGGCUAAAUACUCCUGACUGACCGAUAGUGAACCAGUACCGUGAGGGAAAGGCGAAAAGAACCCCGGCGAGGGGAGUGAAAAAGAACCUGAAACCGUGUACGUACAAGCAGUGGGAGCCCCACCACUAAGCCAGUGGUGAACUCCACAUCCGCAUCCUUUGCUGAGGAUACGGUUAACGGAGCGAAAGCGACGUUCAACCGCAAAACAAGCAGAGGGGGCUUAGUGGUGGGGUGACUGCGUACCUUUUGUAUAAUGGGUCAGCGACUUAUAUUCUGUAGCAAGGUUAACCGAAUAGGGGAGCCGGAGGGAAACCGAGUCUUAAUUGGGCGUUAAGUUGCAGGGUAUAGACCCGAAACCCGGUGAUCUAGCCAUGGGCAGGUUGAAGGUUGGGUAACACUAACUGGAGGACCGAACCGACUAAUGUUGAAAAAUUAGCGGAUGACCUGUGGCUGGGGGUGAAAGGCCAAUCAAA
rnacentral:rRNA from 1 species